rnacentral:tRNA from 1 species
GCGGGCGUGGCGUAACUGGAAGCCGCGCGGGCUUUAGGUGCCCGUGCUCGAAAGAGCGUGAGGGUUCGAGUCCCUCCGCCCGCACGA